UUGCGGUUAAAAAGCUCGUAGUUGGAUCUCGGCAGGUAGGGGGCGGUUCGUUUCUGACGGCACUGCCCCAUUUACCUGUGUUUUUGACGGAGGUCUCAAGGUGGCUUUAAACGGCUGUCUUGGUACGCCGUCAGGUUUACUUUGAAAAAAUUAGAGUGCUCAAUGCAGGCUACAAAGCUUGAAUAUUUGUGCAUGGAAUAAUGGAAUAGGAAGUCGUUUCUAUUUUUUUUGGUUUUCGGAAAUUGACUUAAUGAUUAAUAGGGACAGCCGGGGGCAUUAGUACUCAGACGACAGAGGUGAAAUUCUUGGACCGUUUGAGGACUAACUACUGCGAAAGCAUUUGCCAAGAGUGUUUUCAUUAAUCAAGAACGAAAGUUAGAGGUUCGAAGGCGAUCAGAUACCGCCCUAGUUCUAACCAUAAACGAUGCUGACUAGCGAUCCGUAGCUGUUUUCUAUGUAGGCUCUACGGGAAGCUUCCGGGAAACCAAAGUUUUUGAGUUCCGGGGGAAGUAUGGUUG
rnacentral:rRNA from 1 species